UUCCCCUUGCAUCUAUUGAUGUACAAACUAACUGGUUGGUGCAAAGAACAAUCGGAAUACAUCCAGUGGAAUUGAAGGUUUGCCUGCAACAAGCCAUCAGUAGAUACUCAUCAACAGAAAUGACAGAUCACAUAAUCUGACAACUUCGCCAAUGACAAACCAUCGCACAAUCACAUCCCAACCAUCCAGUUCAAACGGAUUUUACCUUUCAUACAAAAAUCCAAGAAUGAGAUAUUUGUUACAGGAGAUUUGGGUUUUUUUUAUAAUUAAAAAAAGAAAUGCAAAACCUGAAAUCCUUAGCUGAUCAAGUACGGGGAAAUGGUUGGGGAUCUCUGCAAUGGAAAAUGCAAAAGCCAAUUCUGAAAGGGGCUGCAAAUGAGCUGCGUGAGGGUGCAAAGUCUAAUAUUUAACAUGAUCCCUAAUGAACUGCUCCAACUGAGAUAUCUCGCCCGUCAAACCUGAGGCUUCUGCGACUGUCACCCUGUUAAGACACUGUGAGAAUGCAAAGGGCUCUCCAGUCACACCGAGUGUGAAUUCAUCUGCUAUAUCAGCUUCUGACGCACCGGUUCUCGACACCCGAAGCUUGUCUCUACAACAACAACAACAACAA